GAUGGAACAGGCCUCAAAUCUUGGGCUUGAAACAGUCCCCUUCAGGGACUAUCAGAUGGUCCAGGAGGGAGGAAGGCCAGUAGAAAUGAGCACUGAAGGAAGCAUUUCAGCAAAUCAUCUAAAUUUGCUGAAUCUAAUGGUGGUUGGAGUGAAGCACCUGUGACUGAAGAUGAGUCACUUAGAUUGUUGAAGAAUAAUUAUUUAUUUGGUCCUUGUGUAAAAGAGAAGAGUACAGAAGCGACAGGAAGAGGAGACAGCCCUUACUCUCUCUCCUUUUUCUGUUCUUUUUUGUCACCUCUCCUUUGUCCCUCCUUUCCUCAGUCUGUUUCCUCUCUCUUCCCAUAAACCCAAAUACUAUCUAAUAAACUCAACAUGUUAAAGAGUACAA